AAAAAUGGAGGGCUAUGGAUCAUAAUUACCUUAUCUGAAGGUCCACAUUUUACUAAUCUUUUGCCUAAUAGAUCCGGGUUUGCUCCAAGAAGAAUAAAAACCGCGUGGAAAUCUUGAUGAAAUCAUUUUGUUGCCAGAGUUUGCUAGGGUUUGGUAACGUGGAAGAAGGGAAGGAGAGGAGGGGGGACCAUGAGAGUGAACUUGCCGGGUUUGGGGGAGUUCCGGCUAGUUUGAAGCGGCAGGGUAG
rnacentral:lncRNA from 1 species